AUUGAACGCUGGCGGCAGGCCUAACACAUGCAAGUCGAGCGGCAGCGGGAAAGUAGCUUGCUACUUUUGCCGGCGAGCGGCGGACGGGUGAGUAAUGCCUGGGAAAUUGCCCAGUUGAGGGGGAUAACAGUUGGAAACGACUGCUAAUACCGCAUACGCCCUACGGGGGAAAGCAGGGGACCUUCGGGCCUUGCGCGAUUGGAUAUGCCCAGGUGGGAUUAGCUAGUUGGUGAGGUAAUGGCUCACCAAGGCGACGAUACCUAGCUGGUCUGAGAGGAUGAUCGGCCACACUGGAACUGGGACACGGUCCAGACUCCUACGGGAGGCAGCAGUGGGGAAUAUUGCAAGAUGGGGGAAACCCUGAUGCAGCCAUGCCGCGUGUGUGAAGAAGGCCUUCGGGUUGUAAAGCACUUUCAGCGAGGAGGAAAGGCCAGUAGCUAAUAUCUGCUGGCUGUGACGUUACUCGCAGAAGAAGCACCGGCUAACUCCGUGCCAGCAGCCGCCGUAACAC
rnacentral:rRNA from 1 species